rnacentral:lncRNA from 1 species
AGAGAGAGAGAAAGAGAAGAGAAGAGAAAGAGAGAGGAGAGAGAGAGUUGAGAUUAGUAUAUUUUUUUUGAAAAUAUGUAGUGUAUUUGUGAUGAUAUAUUAGUGGGUAUUUUUUUAAUUUUUAUCUUAAGGGCAGUUUAGUCAUUUAACACAAAAGUGGGUAAUUUUUAAUGUUUUAAUUUGAGUAGGUAAAUUUUUAAUUUAC